AUUGAACGCUGGCGGCAUGCCUUACACAUGCAAGUCGAACGGUAACAGGUCUUCGGAUGCUGACGAGUGGCGAACGGGUGAGUAAUACAUCGGAACGUGCCCGAGAGUGGGGGAUAACGAGGCGAAAGCUUUGCUAAUACCGCAUACGAUCUCAGGAUGAAAGCAGGGGACCGCAAGGCCUUGCGCUCACGGAGCGGCCGAUGGCAGAUUAGGUAGUUGGUGGGAUAAAAGCUUACCAAGCCGACGAUCUGUAGCUGGUCUGAGAGGACGACCAGCCACACUAGGACUGAGACACGGCCCAGACUCCUACGGGAGGCAGCAGUGGGGAAUUUUGGACAAUGGGCGCAAGCCUGAUCCAGCCAUGUCGCGUGCAGGAUGAAGGCCUUCGGGUUGCAAACUGCUUUUGUACGGAACGAAAAGACUCUGGUUAAUACCUGGGGUCCAUGACGGUACCGUAAGAAUAAGCACCGGCUAACUACGUGCCAGCCGCCGCAGUAACAC
rnacentral:rRNA from 1 species